AUACGAAGAGUUUGAUCCUGGCUCAGGAUUAACGCUGGCGGCGUGCCUAAUACAUGCAAGUCGAACGGAAGUUUAAUCAAUUAAACUUUAGUGGCGAACGGGUGAGUAACGCGUAAGCAAUCUACCCCUAAGACGAGGAUAACAGUUGGAAACGACUGCUAAGACUGGAUAGUAGACAAGAAGGCAUCUUCUUGUUUUUAAAAGACCUAUUAAUAGGUAUGCUUAGGGAGGAGCUUGCGUCACAUUAGUUAGUUGGUGGGGUAAAGGCCUACCAAGACUAUGAUGUGUAGCCGGGCUGAGAGGUUGAACGGCCACAUUGGGACUGAGACACGGCCCAAACUCCUACGGGAGGCAGCAGUAGGGAAUUUUCGGCAAUGGAGGAAACUCUGACCGAGCAACGCCGCGUGAACGAUGAAGUAUUUCGGUACGUAAAGUUCUUUUAUUAGGGAAGAAUAAAUGAUGGAAAAAUCAUUCUGACGGUACCUAAUGAAUAAGCCCCGGCUAACUAUGUGCCAGCAGCCGCGGUAAUACAUAGGGGGCAAGCGUUAUCCGGAAUUAUUGGGCGUAAAGGGUGCGUAGGCUGUUAAAUAAGUUUAUGGUCUAAGUGCAAUGCUCAACAUUG
rnacentral:rRNA from 1 species